rnacentral:rRNA from 1 species
UUGGAUACGUCCCUGCCCUUUGUACACACCGCCCGUCGCUACUACCGAUUGAAUGGCUCAGUGAGGCGUCCGGACUGGCCCAGAGAGGUGGGCAACUACCACUCAGGGCCGGAAAGCUCUCCAAACUCGGUCAUUUAGAGGAAGUAAAAGUCGUAACAAGGUCUCCGUUGGUGAACCAGCGGAGGGAUCAUUACCGAGUUUACAACUCCCAAACCCCUGUGAACAUACCACUUGUUGCCUCGGCGGAUCAGCCCGCUCCCGGUAAAACGGGACGGCCCGCCAGAGGACCCCUAAACUCUGUUUCUAUAUGUAACUUCUGAGUAAAACCAUAAAUAAAUCAAAACUUUCAACAACGGAUCUCUUGGUUCUGGCAUCGAUGAAGAACGCAGCAAAAUGCGAUAAGUAAUGUGAAUUGCAGAAUUCAGUGAAUCAUCGAAUCUUUGAACGCACAUUGCGCCCGCCAGUAUUCUGGCGGGCAUGCCUGUUCGAGCGUCAUUUCAACCCUCAAGCCCUCGGGUUUGGUGUUGGGGAUCGGCGAGCCCUUGCGGCAAGCCGGCCCCGAAAUCUAGUGGCGGUCUCGCUGCAGCCUCCAUUGCGUAGUAGUAAAACCCUCGCAACUGGAACGCGGCGCGGCCAAGCCGUUAAACCCCCAACUUCUGAAUGUUGACCUCGGAUCAGGUAGGAAUACCCGCUGAACUUAAGCAUAUCAAUAAGCGGAGGAA